AUUGAACGCUGGCGGCAGGCUUAACACAUGCAAGUCGAGCGAGUGGCGGACGGGUGAGUAAUGUCUGGGAAACUGCCCGAUGGAGGGGGAUAACUACUGGAAACGGUAGCUAAUACCGCAUACCCUCGGAUGUGCCCAGAUGGGAUUAGCUAGUUGGUGGGGUAACGGCUCACCUAGGCGACGAUCCCUAGCUGGUCUGAGUGGAUGACCAGCGACACUGGAACGGAGACAGGGACCAGGUUCCUACGGGAGGCAGCAGUGGGGAAUAGUGCACAAUGGGCGCAAGCCUGAUGCAGACAUGCCGCGUGUGCGAAGAGGGCCUUCGGGUUGUAAAGUACUUUCAGCGAGGAGGCGUUACUCGCAGAAGAAGCACCGGCUAACUCCGUGCCAGCAGCCGCGGUAAUAC
rnacentral:rRNA from 1 species